AUCCAACUGACAAGUCCCAAAUAGGAUGAGACGCGUGUCCUGCAU
rfam:Schistosoma curassoni strain Dakar, Senegal genome assembly, scaffold: SCTD_scaffold0006954